UUUCCAUAAGCAGCAGCCCAGACUCAUCGGUCGUUGGAAUUGCUGCCCCGCACGAGAAAGCGAGGGUUUCCUUCCCCGCCGCGACCCCAUAUCCCUCCGCUCUACGGUGCCCCUCCUCGCUCCACGGUCGCGGAAUCCAGACGAGAUCGGCAGGAUCCGCUCUCGGGCGAGGGUUUUCUCUCUAUAAGUCGCUGCCUCGACCCAUGGGAACUCCGACGAACGGUGUACAUGCCGGCAGCCGGCGGGCCGGCGGAUCGGCUCCAGCCGCGUCCACCCUCACCUCCUCGUCCAUGACCUACUCUGCCCGGACGCCCGAGGUGACCGCGUGAUAUCAGAGAACAUACUAUUUUUUCAGAAAAAAAGGAAAGUAGGAUUUGAACGCCAUCCGCGAGUCCUCCAUCUAAGAGAAAUAUGGUAGUAGUCCAUAUAGAGUACAAGAGCUGACCAAUGUGGAGGCGUGGAGCAGACUGACAACGGAAAUACACAGGCUCAUGCCUUUAUUCUCCAUGUUUGCUAAAAGAGAGCUGCCCAGGUCUCCUGUGUCUCUCCCCUUGCCCCCGUGCUCCUUUUCCUCUCUCUCUCUCUCUCUCUCUCUCUCUCUCUCUCUCUCUCUCUCUCUCUCUGAGCUCUUCUCAUCUCACCGCCGUACUUCGUUUACAGGAGCAACCAUGGAUGCUCCGCGUUCAAGGUGUACAAGGCCGAUUUGGAGUGGUUCCCUCGCAAGCCCCUGCUAUUCCCCACCUCUCGCGGGGUUCUACAUCUAGAUUGUUUUCUUCGGUGGCAGGAAGGUUUCCAAGGAGGUACAGAUAGCAAAGUUCAAACAAUUCAGUGCAGCAGCAGCAACACCUCCAAGCGACGGCGGAGCACGAGCACGUGAGGGGCGGCGCCUUCCUCCCUUUCCAGCGACGGCAGCGACGGCGGAGCACGAGUAGGUGAGGGGCGGCACCUUCGUCGGACGGCUGGCCGCGGCGGAGGAGAAGGCGGACGCCAUGGGUGCGGCUAUAGCCGAGGCGGAGGAGAAGGCGGACGCCGUGGGCUUGCUGCACGGCUAUAGCCGAGGCGGAGGAGAAGGCGGACGCCGUGGGCGUUCAUGGAGGAUGGUACGCCGGCCGCCGGCUCCGGCCGCCAGUCCUCUCUGGCCUCCUCCGUGGUAUCCUUCUCAACCUCCGCUGCUCCUAUCGUGAUUUGGAUGGAAAAUUGGAGGCCGGCCGUGUCCUUCUCCAACACAAAUUGAUGUAGUGCCCGACCCGGAUUUGAUUGGCUGCUAUAAGAAGCAAGGGUCCUCGGCCGGAAUCUCCAUCAGUUCGCCGGAGGAAGAAGCGCCGAGUUCGCCGGAGGAACAAGCGCCGAGUUCGCCGGAGGAACAAGAACGCCCGCCGAGUCCUGUGGUGGCUACACGAGAGGCCCUUAAGAUGAGUGAUGAACACCCGUUGAGCCGUCCAAUGUUGCCUUUGGCAACUACACCAGAGCCGUCGUCUCCUUUGACUUCACCGCCAUCGUCUCACAAAGUUCUAAGGUCAAUUCUCUAAUGAGAACAGACUCUGUCCACAAGGGCCAUCAAGCCAACUAUAUGGAAGGACCCAUUCCCGCUCGUCGACUUCGCCGCAAGACAAUCUGCUACCGCCUCCGCCGAUUUUGCCGGAAGACCAUCAGCCGUCGCCUAGACCUACUUUGGUUCAGAAAAUAGAUGACAACACUGUAACUUAAUAUUACACAGAACAUUGAAGAGGACUUUGAUAACCGACCUUCAAAAACAGCAAAAAUUUCUGAAUCAAGUGUUCUGGAGCCAUCACCUAUGUCAUCAACUAUGUCAACAUGUACUCCAGUUUCUGAGUGUUUUGAAUCGAUUGUGCCAAAAUCAGAUAAUUAGAGAGAUCGUGGUCCAUUGCCAUCACCUCCAUCCCCAUCUAGCUCGACAUUACCAUCACCUCCAUCCCCAUCUAGCUCGACAUUAUCUCAAGAACAUCGGUCGAGCCGUACAAAUGGCGCCUGCAGCGGCUACACCAGAGGCAUUUAUCCCCUUGAUGAAAGCUAAUCACUGGAUGUAAUCCCCUGUUUUGGUUGUUGUUUCUGGCCUGGUUAUACAAGCAGUUUUCAACAGCAGCAGGCUAGCAUGCCCAGUCUGAACUUUUAGAAUGUUUUCCCAGUUCAUGUUCAACUUUGAUCCUUUUUCCAGUUAAAGUUCCAAGGAACUUUCCUGUGUGAAUCUGAGAAUCUCACUGAAACUUGUGUUUCAUUGUGUAUAUUGAGCCUAUCGAGUCGAGUUUCA